UGAACCAGGACGUCCACUCGCUGGCCUCUGCGGGAACCGCAUGCGCUGGGACCCGGGCCGCAGCCUGUCGGGCCCCAUCAGUGCAUGCAGGGGCCCGGGAAGCUGCCUACCCACCCCCAUCUCCCAGACCUCUUGGGACACCUAUGCCAGGGGCCACCAUGUCUGGGGACCAGGAUGGUACGGGGCCCUUCUACCUCUUGUGUCCCGUCCUCACAUGACCCCACCAGCCAGAGCUUGCACAGGAAGAAAAUUGAGGCUCCGAGAAGCCAGAAGCUAACUCUGGCUGACCCCAAGGAAUGCAGGACCUCCCCCUCCCCUUCCAGGCGAAGCCUCCCUGUGACCCCCUACCCCCAAUCUUCUGCAGCCCCAUCCCUUUCUCUGCCCUGGCCCUGAUGGCAUGGACUGGGGAAAUCUGUGCAUCUGCCCUGCUCCCCAGACCCAGUUCUCCCUGAGUGUACUCGGUGGCUAUGAGCUCAGUUGGUGGUGACUCUGCAUUCCCCUUCAUCCAUUUGCUGGCUGGAAGUCCCUCCCUCCGUGUGCCUUCCAUCCCUUCACUUGGGGCCCCCGCUGGCAUUGGGAAGUCUUUGGAAUCCAACCUGGCGUCUCUGACCUUGAGUUAUCUAAGAUAGCCAGGCUGGACAAUGACCUCAGACAAAUCCUUUCCCUGUCUCUCAGUCUCCUCAUCUGAGAAAUGGAUCCAGUGCCCUCUCCACUGGGUGUUCCAGAGAUGGGAGUUUUUCUGAAUGGUGUGUGUGUAUGUGGAGGAGGAGAGAAGUUAUGUGAGGGGGACGGCUCAGGCCCCUUAAUCCUGGGCAAGUAUCGGGUGCUUCAGAAUCCAAAUGCUAGCGCUGAGACAGGCCCCCUGGGGUCCCCGGGGAAGCCAGGGGGAACCUAAGGUUCAUAUCCAUAUUCCAAGUGCCCCUACUUCUCUUUGAGGAGGGAAAAGAACAGAGAGGUUUCCUCCCCUCCCCAAGAGACCAUGUCCCCGAAGCCCCCUCACUCCAGGGGGACCCGGGCCUGCGGAUGUGAGUGGAUCCCCCGGUUCUGCUCCGGAAGCGGCUGCAAGCCAGGCGGGCUGCCAGGGUGCCUAGGGGUCUGGGCUGGGGUCAAGGGGCGCCUCACCUCGAGCCCCCGCCAGGUGCGCGGCGGCGACAAAGAGGCAGAGUAGUGGCGGCAGUGAUGCCAUGGCCGGGUGCGAGCGUCCGAGGGAGGGUCCGGGCUCCGCCGCG